GGGCCGUCGGGUGCAUGUGUGUUCUCCGUGACAUUCUUGAAGUUGUGAGUAAUUAGAUUGUUUUUUGCUGCGUUUAGGUUGUACCACCUCGUUGUUCUCGCGUACUUUUGUGCUCAUCGACGCGAAGUGAGCGUCCGGAGUGAAGACGACGCGAUUGUGCGUGAGAAAGAAGGGCAGCAGCGGCCUACGACAUCGGUGUUUCUUUGUGACAGUGUGUUUACUACGCCUACGACGGCCGUCAUUCGUGGCGACGGAGAAAACAUCUUCCAUUCGGCCUGAACAGUGAUGAAGUGGACGUUUUGUUUUUCGGCGGAAUCCAUCGUCAACAUCGACCAUCCACUACGUAAUCGAAAUGGUGUGCCCACAGUACACAUCGUGGCAGCGCUCCGCCUUCAAACCGAGGGCCUUUUGCAAGGCGCAUGAACUGCUCAUAUAAAAGUUACAGUCAGCAUGAAGCAAUUGCAUGGGAACCGACUGGCUGUCUUGGGCCUACACAUUGCUGAAAAGACAGUGAAGAUGUCUGAACCGACAGGUAGAAAAGAAGCAGAUGGCUACAGCGAUCAGUGAAGAAAUGGCUUCAUCUAUGAUGGCUCGCCUUAGGACAUUGGAAUGCAGCUACACAAAGGCAUCAUCAUCCUCGCCUCUGCCCUGGAACUUUGGUUUGAAUGAGACUGUUCUUCACCGUAGAACGGCCACAAGACUUGUCACCACAUACAAGGCAUAGUGCAAGCUCUAAAUAUUGUACAGGAGGCUAGAAUAAAUGACCCUCCAUGCAGUCACUCUGUGUCUGUGGUAAA